rnacentral:misc_RNA from 1 species
GAUGAAGAACGUAGCGAAAUGCGAUACUUGGUGUGAAUUGCAGAAUCCCGUGAACCAUCGAGUCUUUGAACGCAAGUUGCGCCCGAAGCCUCGGCUAAGGGCACGUCUGCCUGGGCGUCACGCAUCGCGUCUCCCCCAAACCGCCAAGGCGGAGGGGAAGGAAGAUGGCUUCCCGUGCCUCACCCGGGCGCGGUUGGCCUAAAUUUGGAGCCCGCGGCGCUUAGCUCUCGCGGCGAUAGGUGGUGAACAAGGCCUUGGCCGUGCAAACAACCCGCUGCGAAGCUCUAUGUCACGUGCGCUCGUCGGACCCUUUGAAGUUGCCUUCGGUGACUUAAAACCUUUGCGACCCCAGGUCAGGCGGGGCUACCCGCUGAAUUUAAGCAUAUCAAUAAGCGGAGGA